GUGAUUCAGUUUACUUGUUUAUCAGAAAAGCUCUUUAUCGGUGACUUAUUGUGGGAAUUCCGUACAUGGACUGUCUUUGACGUAAUUUUGCUGUCGCAAUUUCUUCACCUUUAUCUGCAAGUAGAAUACUAUAUAAAACGUUUAUUUCAUUUAGUUAUCUAGAAUGAAAAAAAUCCAUACAUAAGCGAUACUUCACAGGUAUUUGAAAUCUCACUGACACCAUGAUGCGUUCCACAUUUAUUCUCUUGUUCCUGGUCGCCUCCAUGUUUACAACGGUCCUGACAGCAUCGUGUCCAAGUCACUGCUACACCGCCAGUUCUACGUGCAUCAACAACUGUUAUAACACCUUAUCAAGUAUCAUCAACAACAUCGGGAAACGUGACGUCAUGAAAGCUAAAUCACGUCAGAGAAGAUACAAUUGUUCCAAUAUGUGUAUGUCCAUUUACAAUGCCUGCUGUGGAACAAGCUAAACUGAAUAAUAUUUUGAGAUGACAUUUUCUUUAAAGCAUCUGUUAUACGGGAUGAAUAAAGAGUAUAAAUAUGCAUGUAUCUGUUAAAUGUAGUGGAGUGAGACAAUGCCAUUUUAUCACGUGACGGCAGUCAUAUCUGAUGAUUGUUAGUAGAAGGAGGACAAAUUGGCUUCUGGAAGUAGCUUUCAUCAAGUAUUCUAAGAUGUUGAAUGAAUAAAUGUGAUGUCAAUUACA